GAUGAAGAACGCAGCGAAAUGCGAUAAGUAGUGUGAAUUGCAGAAUUCAGUGAAUCAUCGAAUCUUUGAACGCACAUUGCGCCCGCUGGUACUCCGGCGGGCACGCCUGUCCGAGCGUCAUUUCAACCCUCAAGCCCUCCUUCGGGAUGGGCCUGGUGUUGGGGCUCGGCCGCCAUCUCCGGCGGCCGUCCCCUAAAUACAGUGGCGGUCACGUCGCGACUCCUUUGCGUAGUAGAAACACCUCGCUCCGGAUAGCAACGCGGUCCACGCCGUAAAACCCCCAAUUUUCAAUGGUUGACCUCGGAUCAGGUGGGAAUACCCGCUGAACUUAAGCAUAUCAAUAAGCGGAGGA
rnacentral:misc_RNA from 1 species